AGUGAAGAGGGAAGAGCCCAAGAUUGAAAGCUGGCGUCUUCGGCGUCCGCAUUGUAAUCUCAAGAAGUGUUUUCCGCUUCGGACCAUGCCUAAGUCCCUUGGAAAAGGGCAUCAUAGAGGGUGAUAAUCCCGUACAUGGCAUGGAGCGCCCGAAGCUUUGUGAUACGCUUUCUAAGAGUCGAGUUGUUUGGGAAUGCAGCUCAAAAUGGGUGGUAAAUGCCAUCUAAGGCUAAAUAUUGGGGAGAGACCGAUAGCGAACAAGUACAGUGAUGGAAAGAUGAAAAGAACUUUGAAAAGAGAGUUAAACAGUACGUGAAAUUGCCAAAAGGGAAGGGUAGGAGGUCAGAGAUGCGGCCUGGGAUUCAGCCUUGCUUUUGCUUGGUGUUUUUCCCAGAUUGCAGGCCAACGUCGGUUUUGGGCACUGGAGAAGGGUAGGAGGAACGUGGCACCUCUCGGGGUGUGUUAUAGCCUCCUACUGGAUACAGCGACCGAGACCGAGGACAGCAGCGUACUCGCAAGAGCGGGCCUUCGGGCACCUUUACGCUUAGGGCGUUGGCAUAAUGGCCCUCUACCACCCGUCUUGAACCACGGACC
rnacentral:rRNA from 1 species